GGAGUACGUAAAAACAACAGAUAUUUACCCACCCUUUGUGGUAUUUGAAUACAUUUGAAAUGCUGCACAUCAUAUUGCAUUGCAAGCUGCUGCGAACAUUCCAGGAAAUAAAUCUCAAACCGCAGUCUGUUGACAGUUUUCGCUUGUGUUGUUUGCUUCGUUAGAGGUCAGUGGAAAUUCAAAAAAGCUAUUUGUCUGCCGAAAUGGAUAAGAUUCAGUAACUGGAGGAUUGUCAACUAGGCAAGUAGGUACGAAUCAUCAUAAUUCCGGUAUUGGUACCACCGUAUUGAAGUCCCGCAGCGCCGAUUGGAAAAACAAAAUCCUGCAGUUUAAAUUUCUUGUCAAACCAAGAUAUGUCAUCUGUUGGAGCAGUUGGAUGAGAUCCAGUACAAGAUCCAGAAGAUAGGGCACUUCCUAUGUCAAAGGCUGGAAAAAUGAAACCGUGCUGACAAUUACUCCUACUGAACCAAACUUCUAGAAUAAUCAUCCCGGCUGAUAUCUGUUGGAGGAGGAUGCCGAUCUAGGAACUGAACCUGAUACGUGCAAAGAUGUAGUAGUGAUGGUGUAGCUACAGAAUGUCACAACGAAAUAAUAAGAAAAUACCUGCGGUAAGUUGCCGGAAGACGAACAUUGCCGCCACAUUCAGAAAAGAAUCGCAUGGCUGUUUCACACUCAGGGCCGAAUUUAGCCGGAAGGGGGGCCGGGCCGACAGCUUGUGGGGCCCAAAAUGUAUAAAAAAGGUUGGUUUUGAUACAUAAGAUUUGUGGGGGCCCGGGGCCACGGCACCCAACGCCCCCCAUAAAUCCGGCCCUGAAUCACACUGAUCAACUAGUAAUAAAAAACCUGUCUGCUGUUUCAGAAUUAGAACGCAGAAUGGAAAAUAUUCAAAUAAUUAAAUCCAACAACUGGAAUUGUAAAUAACGAAUUCAACCUUCAAUUUUCAAACAUAAUAUAUGUACACUUUUGAAAUCAGUAAAUCAUAAUUGAACACCAAUUAAAAUUAAAAUGUAGAAUUAAAAUUCAAAAGUUUGAUUCCAAAUUAUAAACUAUAAUUGAAA